rnacentral:lncRNA from 1 species
GGAAUCUCUUCAGGAUUACCUAUCUCUAUACCAAAAGGAUCCGGAAUAUCUGUUGCUGUUCCUCGUGUUUCGGAUCCAAGGCCAAAGUACUGUGGAAUGACAUUUUCUUGACAUAUGCCACUGUUUCUCACAAGAACAUGAUCAGCAGAGUUUUGAAGCAUCCUGUGGCUAUCAUUUUCUGUGUGUGUAACAUGUUUUCUUUGAUGAUAUCUUCCAACAGCCCAAUGAUGAAGAUAAGUUUCAUGGAGGGGUAUAGGAUUACCAUCUUCAUCAACAACUUCAGCAUUGAAACUCUUGAGUGCUACAUGACCUCUUGGAAAAUCAAUAUCAUAAUAAUAUCUAUUGAUAACUGAUCCAGGUCCUAGCUCGAAUUUCGGGGACAAAAAUACAGCUGAUUUGAUCUUAUUUUCAGUCUUCAAAAAAGAAGUUGAGAAUGAUGGUGUGCUAAAGAACAGCACAAGUAUUGCUAGUGAAAAUACAAAAUGUCCACAUACAAACCACAUGUUGAUCUGUGACAAAAAUGUUUAUUAGUAUUUCAUAAAAUUGAAUGACUUGUGAACCAAGUGAUUGACUGAGUGACACAUUAUUUUUUUAACAGACAUGACUUACCUUCUGGAUUACAAAGGCCUCUACCCUAGAAACCGGAGGGUUAACACGAAAAUUAUUUUAUUUUACUAACUAGAUAAUAGUAGUAAUACAGAAUAAAAGAGUAAUUUUGAAGAACAUAAAAAAACAACAGGAUUGCGUACCUGAAAAGAGAGAGGCUGGAAUGACGAGAAAUUUAGAGAGUAUCGUUAUGAUAUGUAUGGAAUGUGUAGAGAGGCAGCCACCGUCCUCACAUGAGAACGUUUUUCACAUCCUUUCAUUUUUCUUUAUUAUUAUGUAAACAAAAGGGAAAGUAAAGUCCUAAUUAGCUACUCUCGUUUUUUUUGUUCUUUAUUGAAUUCGAUGCAUUCACAUUUGGGACACCGCGUGGCUUCAACUCAAAUUUAUUAAUAUAAUGAUGAAACAUAAAUUAAUUUUUAACACAAAAUUCAAAAUUUUGAAGUCUGCUGCAACUGCAUUUUUCGAUGCUGAAUAACACACAUAUUCAAUCUUCAACUUCAACAUUGAGCACAAGAUGAAUUUUUUUACUACUUCCUCCCUCCGGUUCCUUUAAUAGUUUUAUUAUUUAUAAGAAAAGUCAUUAACUUUUAAGGUAUAUUUAUUGCAUAAAAGAUUUUUCUAUCCUUCAUUUAAUGUUUGUCUUUUAUUAUUAGUGGAUAUAAAAUAGUUAUCUAUAAAAACAUUAAAAAAGUUGCAACAAUCAAUAAUUAUAUUUAGUUUUUUCUCUCAAAAAAUAAUUAAAUUUAAUUUUGAUGAUGUACCAAAAAAUAAAUAAAUUAGUUUUGAUGAUUUUUUGUUUUUCUUUUUGUGUUAAGAAUCGGAGGAAGUACAACAAAUGAUUUAACAAAAGGCAAGUAACAAUACAAUUAAACUCUCCUAAAAAAAUACAAUUAAACUCAGGUUAGUUUAUCAAAAGUAUUUUAAACAUUAGUAAAUAACAAGUUAGAGAAACAAUUGUUAGCCUUAAACUUGACAACCAAUUUUAUAGGCCAACAAAUUGCUUUUCUGAUUUGAAGUGAAUUUUAUUAUUGAGUAAAUUGAUAUUUUGGUUUUUGGACUCUGCAUCUUGUUGUCUCAAAGGUCUAUGACACAUAAUUAAAUACAAAAUAAUUCUUGAAUGUGCAGUUUCGUUAACAGUUUAGUUCUUGACGUUAAAAACUUCUGUUAACUAACGAGGUGGCAUGCAUGAGGUGUUACAUGGACUAAAGUGAAAGUAAAAUGGUCCCUUUGGUUCCUGAAUCGAUAAUCAAUAUCCCAAAAUUGAAUAUCAAAUCCCUAAAUCCCGAAUUUAAUAUCUAAAUCUCGUAUAAUUUUUUCUUUUGUUCAAUUUUUUUUUUUUUUUUUUUUUGUAGUUAUUAAUUCUCUAGAUUGUAUUGAAUUUUAAUGCUUAUAACAAAUCACCACAUUUUACUCCUCCAUUCCAAAGAAUAUAAUCUUUCCCUCAUUCUACAAUGUAAGUGCACUCAAGCUGAUUAGUAUGUUUGUACGUGCAUGCUUGAUAAAUGUGUUUUACUAAAAAAUAAGAUAUGGUUGAACCUAUUUUCGAUAGUACUUCUACAUGCAUGUUUGAUAAAUAUGUUCUAAUAAAAAGUAAGAUAUGAUAAAGAACAAAUUAAGAAUGGGUAGUACCAAAAAAAAAUGAUGGCUGUUCUUCUACCAACCCUCACAUAUGCCUAAGUUUUUUGGGAUACUUUUGCAUUUACAAAGAACAGUCUUUUUUUUUGAAAUAAAAGCAGGGCCAUCACAUGGCCCUUCGAGACUGGGCUAUGCCACUGAUCCUCAAACUUUUUGGGACCCAAAAUACUUUUUUUUUUUUUUUUUUUUUUUUUUUUUUUUUUUUUUACGUGUAAGACAUUAAAAUAAGACUAUUACUUUUUCACCCUAUGUCUUUCCUCGUGCACCCUAUUUUUUUCCAAUUUUAUCCCUGAUCUGGAUUUCGUUUUCCGGAUGGUAUUGUUUGAAUUUUGCAGAUGUUUCCGGAUUUGAAAAUUUGAAAUAAUGUUUUACCAGAAGUUUUUCAAUUUUAAUCUUCAAAAUUCGUAAAAUAAAAUGCAAAUAAAAUAAAAAAUAGAAAUAAAAAGACACAAACAUAAAAACAACUCAUUUUAUUAAUAUAUGAACAAUACAUUACAAUAAUUUUCAAGCUUUUUAAGCUUAUUACAUAAGAUCCUAAAUCUAUUUCUAAUAUCCUAUGAGCCUAAUUCUAAUCUCCUAAGAGCCUAACCAUUGGUAUGUGAUGGGACAUACCAGUGGUUUGCCUAUUGGAGGAAAACCGGAGGAGGAGGGAAGAGGAGGGCGGGAAGAAGAAAACAAUGCCCCUGAGGGAGAUGGGCGGUGCUCAAACUUACGCCAAGACAGGCCAAGCUAAGAACCACACUGACCCUCAGAUGAACCGCACUUCGUAGCAGCGCGGUUCCAUCCUCAUUGACCGUUCAUACAAACCCUAAAAAAUUUCAACGAGACCCUUAUCUAUGAAAGGCCAACAAUGGAAAACCAUGGUGUUAGAAGGAAGAAGAGGAGGAGAGGGUGGGAGAGGAUGGUGUGAGAAAUGGUGGGGUUUGGAAGGCUAUUUAUAGGGAGGGGUGGGUCAAAAACGGCUGGGAGGCCAUAAAUGCAGUCAAAAAACGUGUUUUACCACGUUUUUUUUACUUGACCAACGACAAAAGCGAGAGGUGCAGACCACCGGCCAUGACUAAUGCAUUCCGGAAAGCACAUCUGUUUUUCGAAAUAUAUUUUCCGAAUUAAUGCGAUAAUGGUGGUGAACGAGGGAAAAGUUGGCACUUCCUAUAGGGCUAAGGACAUUCCGGAAUGUAAAAUCCGGAAAGGUUUAGAGCCACUAAUGUGGGUUUGGACGAUUACAACAACCACUAACACGUUUUCAUUGACUGUAUUAAUGACCUAGAACUUGUUUUAGCCUAUAAAUAGGCUUCCAUCUUCAACAAAUACCUACAUUCUUCACUUCACCUCUUUUUUUACAUUUUCUUCAAAUGUUUUUUUUAGUUUUUUAGGGGUGUCGAUGGUGUCAUGGUCAUUGUUGACCGUUCAUAGGAACCCUACAAUUGCAAUGCAUUGCAGCUUGUGUGUGGUUCAUAUAACGGUCAACAGAGACCCUUGACAUCAAAGAAAGACACAAAAAAUUACAUAACAUCUGGUCCGGAUUUCUGUUUCUGGAAAUCACUAACAAUCUGAUUCAGAUUAUACAAUCCGAACAAAGGGUAUUUUGGUCAAAAUCAUAGGGCGCGCGAGAAGGCUGUAGGGUGGGAAAAGUAAUAGUCGUAAAAUAAUGGUUAUAUACAUUGAAAGUGAAUAAUUUCCAAUUUGUUCACAAUGCUUCAGUUACAUGGUUAGUCUAUUAUGAUGUGUUCAAGUCCCAUUGAAGUGUGUAUUUUAAUAAUUUAUAAAUGACUUAUUUUUAUUUUUUGAGCCUAAAUUCAAUUUUUUUUUACAUCAAACAGGGCUCAUGAAUUUGUUAAGACGCCCUCAAUAAAAGAAAAAUUUUGGAGGAAGAUGACUCCCAAAUAUUAAUUAUUUUGUUGUCAAUUUGACCUUUUCUAAAUAACAAUUGCUAUUUUCAAAGUUGGACAAUAUGGGAAGAUCUUCUCCAAUCAUGCAUGCAAUGCAUUGUCAUUUUUAGGGUUAAUACUUGGGUGACAUUGUAGUUGUUAAUAUUGAUAAUAUUGGCGAACCAUAAUGUCACAAGUGUACAAAAAAAAAAAAAAAAUCUUGUAAAAGAGAAAGAAGAAAGUCACUUGUAACAUUGUAGUUGAUCAAUAUCAUCAAUGUCAACAAAAGUGUUACUACCCCUAAUUUUUAGAGAGCAAGCCACAUCCGUGGCCGGUCCCUAUGCUGAAUUGAAGUCCUUUUUACAUUAAUUAAGCAGAUAUAUUGGUACAACAGUUGCAUAAUGAUACAAGAAAGAGUGGAUUAAGCCAAAAUAAUUACACACUAUGCAUCACUAGAACACGGCAUUUGAAAUAUUGAUUCAAACUUCAGACUUGUCUUUAUCCUAUAGCUAGCCAAAUGCAGAAAGAUUUGUAUUAUUCAGUCACACUCAGACUUGUCUUUAUUCCUCUUUUGAUCAAAUCAUAUAUUACUUCGCUACAAUCCAUAACACUCCACUCCACAUAUAUUACAAAUAUGUGACUAAUUAUAUAAAAAUAUUUUUUUAUUUACAUUACAUCCAUAAAAAAUGAAGAACGGGUAGAAUGUCUGAAGUGUUGAUCUGGGAGUUGUUCUGCCACCAAUAGGUAGAAAAGUCCCAUUACACCAUUGUGUUCUUGGCUAUUGUUGUAGAUAGAGACUAAAGUUAAAGUUUCACCAUCAAUAAUCUUGAUAGAACCUGGUUUAGGAUAACAUGUGGACAUUCCUACAAUGUAGCCUGUCUCAUUUCCAGCUUCGUUUCCAUUUCCAUAUCUUGGUAUUGAAGAGCAUAUAACCCUCUCAUCCUGAAAACAUAAUCCAUAAAUUUUAAUAAAAUGACACUAAUGACAAUUUUGAGAUUAACCCCAAGAAAAUUCGAAAUAUGUUUAUUGAGGUUGCAAGGUCAAACUAUCACGCUACACCAAGUAUUUAAGAAUAAAAGUAAGCUGUAUGUAACUAUUGGAAAUUACCUGUCCAUAUAGGGUGGAUCCGAUUCCACCCGAAUGUUGAUGUGCAACACCAUAGAUCACAUAACCACCAGUUUGAAAUGGGAGACUUAUCCUCUUCACAUGAACACAACCAUUUCCAUCCUUAUGGUUUGUGGUGCAUGAUUCAACUUGAUACUCAACCUGAAACAAAGAAAUCCAUAUUGCUUUACUAUAUAAUACCCAACAUUGGAUUAGUGUUACAUUUCAGAGUUAAAUCGAGAUUGAGACAAACAAACUACAAAUUUGGAUUCCUUGCAAUCUCGAGACUCUACAUUCACGCAAUCGACAUAGACUGUUGGUUCAAGAUCGGACGGUCCUAGAUUUCAAUCUAGGUAUUUUGGAUUUUAAUAAAAAAAAAAAAAAUCAAAAUUUGUAUAUUUUGUGAACUGACUGAUCUUGAUCUAACAUUUAUUGUGCAUCGACUGCGUGUUUCUUGAUGAAUUUGUUUACCUUGCAAUCAUGUUCUGAGUUCAUUCCUUUUGAAUUAUCUGAUAGUUUCAAAGUAUCAGUAACAUCAAGUAUAUAUAUCUUAGCAGGCACUAUAAAAUCAUCCCAAUCAACCCAUUUAACAGUGUAUCUUAAGUAGAGGCUUCUCUUUGGACGCUCAAAACCUUCCUUCAACUUGCACUGUUUAGAGUCAUAACAACAUAAGAAACCUCCUUUAUAAUCUGACCUUAUUGACCUUCCAUAUUCAUCAACUGUAACAUUAUAAAGCUCACACUUGCACUCAGUACACCCUAACUUAUCCUCCACGCCGCGCGUAUCAAUGGCAUGAACGUUUAGCAUCCAUAUCUCCUCAUACCCUUCUGGAAUCUCUGCAGGAUUACCUAUCUCUAUACCAAAAGGAUCCGGAAUAUCAGUCGCCGUCCCUCGUGUUUCAGAUCCAAGCCCAAAGUAUUGUUUAUUUAUACUUUCCUGGCAUAUACCACUGUUCCUUACCAUAAUAUUAUCAGAAUUUUCAGGCAUCUUUUGGCCAUCAUUUCUUGUGUGUGUGACAUGUUUACUUUGAUGAUAUCUUUCAACAACCCAAUGAUGAAGAUAAGUUUCAUGGAGGGGUAUAGGAUUACCAUCUUCAUCAACUACUUCAGCAUGGAAACUCUUGAUUGCUACAUGACCUCUUGGAAAAUCAAUAUCAUAAUAAUAUUUAUUGAUAACUGAUCCAGGUCCUAGCUCGAAUUUCGGGGACAAAAAUACAGCUGAUUUUAUCUUAUUUUCAGUUUUCACAAAAGAACCUAAGCAUGGUACUGUGCCAAACAACAGCACAAGUAUUGCCAAUGAAAAAACAAAAUCUCUAGGUACACACCACAUGUUGAUCUGCCAAAAAAAUAUUAAGUAUUAGUAAUUAACUAAUUAUUGACUAAAAAUAUAUUAAACAGAAUAUUGUGAAAAAUGUAUUGUGUUCAUUAAAAAAGAUUAUUAGUACAACAAAAUUCUGCAAUUAAACGAGUAUAUAUAUAGCGAUAAAAAAAUAAUCUUGCAAAGUACUAGUCCUCCAAAGAAUUGAAUAAUUAAGCUUAAAAAAUAAACAAGGCAGACAGAGUUUUCAAAUUGCACCUAAGAGAAGAUUUUUAAAACCUUAAUUAUGACAUAAGUUAUAGCCAAACCUUAAUUAUGACAUAAACUGAUAGCCAAACAACUUUUUUUUAAUAAGAAAAAACCUAUAAUUAGCAAUAGAGGGAAAUAGAUUCUCUGAUUCAAGUUUUUCAUGCAUCCAUGCGGUCAAAACGUUAGUGACUGUCCGAUUUAGAUCUAACACCUUAAAAAAUGCAUAUUUCAAUAAUUACUCUACUAUUAUAAAACAUCGAUCGACUUGAAUUUUGAAUCAUCCAAUUUUAAUCGAACAUAUUCUAAUAUGUGAAUGCGUCUACAUGUGGACCGCAACAAAUCUAGGUCUAACAAUAAAUGAUGAUUAUAGAAAGUUGAGGCAAAAGGGUGGAGUGCUGUGCAAGUAUAUGAAGUAUUAACAAUUGAUCACACCAAAGUAAGAUUUGAGGAACAUAAAAAGCAACAGCAUGUAGAACAGAUUGCGUACCUCAAAUUUAGAGUGUGUGAGAUGGUUUGUAUCAUUCAAAUAGACUCACACGUAUUUAUAGAUAGAUGAUUGGGGUUGAAUUGAAUGAAAGUGUUUUUCUAAAGAGCCACGUCCUCAGAUUACUUUCACCCACGGGAAAGUAAAGUCCAAAUUUGCUACUCAACUUCCCUUUUCAUAUAAGAUUUUAUCUAACAAAUGCAAUAUUGUUGUUAUAUUGUAUAUGUUAAAGGAACUAAAAGUAACAAAUUUUUAGUGAAAAUCAACAAUUAUUUAUUAAAAAAUUAUAUAUUUAAUAUAAAAUCCACAAAUUUUAAUACAAAAUUUACAAUUUUAAUUUUUUUAACAUGUGUAAAUUUGCAGAUGAUAGAAUUUUUUUAUAAAAAAUAUAACAAAAAUCAUGAUUAUUAAAAAAAGUUGUUAAAGUAAUAAAUUUAUCUGAAAUUUAUGUGAUUAUUACUAUAUUAUUCUUUAUAUAUAAAUGUAUUCAAUGUUAAUUUUAUACCCAAAACAAAAUGAUGCUCCGCAUCAAUAAAGAAUAUAUUUUAAAAAAGAGUAAUAAAUAUAUUUAUAGAUGAUUUUAUAUAUGAACAAUUUUUUGUAAAUAGUUUUGUAGCUAGGAACUGAUAAACUAUUUGAAUUCAUUAUUCAGUCAUUUUACUUUUCCUUUAUUAUUACCAGUAUUCAUUAUUUAUUUCACUCUUGGAUUUUUUUUUGGUUGCUAAUAUCACUCUUGGAUUCAUUAUUCAUUUUUUUUAAAGGUGGACUCAUUAUUCAUUUUUUUGGUCGUAUCACUCAUUAAUACAGUAGAAAACUACAAAGCAUGAGUCGGCAAUUCAACACACUUAGGCAAUUGGAACACUCAAUCGGACAUCAAUUGAUCCAAAUUUCGUUCAUAAAUAAGAUCGAAUUGGUAAGUUAGAUUAAGUCUCUUAAUUUGUAUGGGUGUUAAUUUUGUCCUUAGUUAUUGACGCAUAACGAAAAUAAGGGUUAGCAAAUGCUAAACCUAAAAGAUAAAUAGAUAGGCUGCAAACGACAAACCUAUCAAAUAAGGGUUUACAGAAUCCACUAGAAUUGAGAAAAGUCUCGAUAAUUUUUAUUGAAUGAAAAAAGUGUCUCUUAGGUUGCAUAAGUUAUGUUUAAAUAUUAGAGGAAAUAACAAACCUGUAUGAGCCGAAAAAUAACAUACUGAAAUAAAAUAGAAAAAUCUAGAAUAUGCCGAAAUAUUAAAAUGAGGUUUUGGGCCUUCAGACAACCUCGAAUGACUAAAUUCACCCCUACGUCAUGACCAAGCAUUGGUUUUGUUUGUGAGGUCCCGGACUUUCCGAAAAGGUAUAGUUCGGGUCAUUCUGACACCGGAUGCAAAAUCUACACCAUUCUAAGUAAACCUUUCUUAUCACUACUAAAAAAAGCAAAAAUUUGUGAGGGAAAUUUAGAGAGGGAAAACGCAAAAUCCCUCUCUAAUUCUGUCACUAAAUUUUGCGACCAAGGAAUUUGUAAGGAAUUUUAUUUUUUCCGUCACUAAUCUCCCUCCCUAAUUUUACAUUUUCUAGUGGUGUUACGCGCCACUUCAUCUUCGAUGUGCGCCACCAGUUUGUCUAGAUCAAUUAUAAAAUCAUUAAAAAAAAUUGGUUUUAAAUAUAACAUCAUCUACAAAUUUCUACACAAAGGUAAGAAGGGAUUGAUUAUAUUUUAUAAAACCUUAAUUUUAUAUUUAAAUUUGUAUUAUAUAUAUAUAUAUAUUUUUUUAUAAUAAUUGUAUUUCUUUAUAUUUGUGAAAAAAAUUAAAACGACGUUUAUUUUGAAACGGAGUUGGAAACAUGAUUCAAAAUAGCAACCAUAAUACUUCCUCCGUUUAUAAAUAUAAGCAAAAUUGUUUUUUUAAGUUCAUUCAUUUAAUGAUGCAUAUGAUCCAUAAUAAGAACCACAUACAUUAUUAAAUGAAUGAAUCUAAAAAGUCAAUUUUGCUUAUAUUUAAAAACGGAGAGAGUAUUGAUUUGUUUCUUUUCUAUUAAAAAUUAAUUUCAAAACAAUCAUGAAACUAGCAUUGGGUUAUCAAGCUACCACUUUUUCUGUUGGAGUGUGGUGGUCUUGGCAGCAUCGAAAUUUUAUGUGUUUGAGUGGUGAAACUUGGUCAUGACUGCGUUUUACUUGCAACAUUAAGAAUUCGAUUGAGAGCAUUGUAUUCAAUUUUUCCCCUUCUGUUUCUAUUGAUAUGGCUAACAGGUACAUCAGAUGGAAUAAUAAUAAUAUUUCGGGUGCUAUUCUUAAUGUGGAUGGUAGUUAGCAUGACACUCCUAUUAGAACUUGAUUUGGUGGAGUCUUGCGCAAUGACUCAGGUAUAUUCAUUGCGGGUUUCUCUGGUUUCAUUCCAGGAUCAUUUGACAUCUUGUUGACUGAGCUUUCUAUUAUCUAUCACAAUCUGAUCAUGGAGAAGGAUUUGGGUUAUACAAAGCUUGUUUGCUACUCUGAUUAUCUUGUUUGCGUUAAUCUUAUAAAUGGCCCCAUUGAGUGUUAUCACAUCUAUGUUGUUCUCAUCAAAGACAUAAAGCAAUUGCUUCACCAUACCAGCGUAACGGUUUCUCACACUCUUAGAGAGAAAAAUCAGUGUGCAGACUUAAUGGCAAAGCUUAGAGCUUCUUCUGAUAUUGAUCUUCCUCUUCACGAGUUUUCCCCUGUUGGUCUUGUUAAUCUCGUCGGAAGCGAUGCCGCUUGCAUUUUGUUCCUCAGGGAAUAGUUAGUUUUUUCUUUGCCUUUGUCAUUGUAAAAAAAAAAAAAAAAAAAAACUAGCAUUGUGGUCCCAACUCCAAACAACAAAGUCAAACAAUAUAAUAUAGGUUGGAAAACAAGGCCGACAAUGCAUCAAACUAUACUAUUCUGUCACGGGACGGCUAUCUGGUUGAAGAAGACAUUCUUCAUAUCAGGCUAUCACACUAGCCACUUGAAUUUAUAUUAAUUAAUUAAUUAAAUUCUCAAACAAUUUUUGCUACAAGUGUAAUUAAAAUCAGACAAUACUACGAUUUUUAGGAAACCAAUUAUGCAUGCAAAGUCUGUUAUAGAGACCAAGCCAAGCCACACCCGUUUCAAAAAUAAGCUGCACUUGGCAAGUUCGUCUCAAAUGUUUGAAGCAACUUCCAAACAUUCAUGAUUUCAAUUCAAGUAUUAAACCAUAUUUGGUUUGUCCAUAUUCACGGCGUAUAUAUAACUUGUGAAGUGUAACAUCAAAACACAAAAAAAAAAAAAAAAAGGCUUAUGGGUUGUGGCAAUCUGAUAAAAACAGAUACGUUUCGUACUAAGCAAUUCCCUUUUAAAUUAAGCAGCUAUACGUUACAGCAAACUUACCACAUAGCCAUAUGAUACAAGAAAGAGUGGACUAAGCCAAAAUAAUUACACACUAUGUAUCACUAGAACACGGCAUUGAUGCAAACUUCAUACUUGUCUUCAUCCUAUAGCUAGCCAAAUGCAGAAAGUUUUGUAUUAUUCAGUCACACUCAGACUUGUCUUUAUUCCUCUUUUGAUCAAAUCAUAUAUUACUUCGCUACAAUCCAUAAUAACACUCCACAUUUAUUACAAAUAUGUGACUAAUUAUCUAAAAGCAUAUUAUUUAUAUCCAUAAAAAAUGAAGAACGAGUAGAAUGUCUGAAGUGUUGAUCUGGGAGCUGUUCUGCCACCAACAAGUAGAAAAGUCCCAUUACUCCAGUGUGCUCCUUGGUGCUGCUGUAGUUAGACACUAGAGUUAAAGUUUCACCAUCAACUAUCUUGACAGAACCUGGUUUAGGAUAACAUGUGGACAUUCCUACAAUGUAGCCUGUCUCAUUCCCAGCUUCAUUUCCAUUUCCGUAACUUGGUAUAGAGGAACAUAUAACUCUGCCAUCCUGAAAACAUGAUCCACAUAUUUCGCAAAACAAGCUAUUAAUCUAUUAUACCAUAUUUAACUUCUUAAACAAGCUACUAUACACCUUUUUCUUGUUAAUAAAAGCAUUUGUUAGCCUCAAUUGAAAACUAUCACAUGAUCAAAUAGAAGUGAUUAUAUUUAAUCACAAAUGUGUCUCGGGUCCAACAUGUGUCAGACACUCGAACACAUCUUUAAUCUUAAGUGUCGGUGCUAUACAUGAUGUAAAUCGGGAGUCUCUCUUAAGGAGCAGAAUCGUUAUCGAUUAGAUCCUUCAAUGAUUUCUUUUUUCAAUAAACUUAUGCCACUAAAAAGUGAUAUCUAUUCAAAUCAAAAUAUUUUUGAGUAUUACUGUAAGUUGUAACUUGUCGCUAACUGUUGCAAUUGAAAAUUGUAAAUUACCUGCCCGUAUAGAGUUGAUCCAAUUCCACCUGAAUGCUGAUGAGCAACACCAUAGAUCACAUAGCCACCAGUUUGUAGUGGGAGACUUGUCCUCUUCACAUCAACACAACCAUUUCUUUCUUUAUGGUCUGUGCCGCAAGAUUCAACUUGAUACUCAGUCUGAAACAAAUAAAUUCAUGUUGCUCACUAUAUACCCAACAAAGUAAUGGACUAGUUUUAUGUUUUAGAGUUAAAUUGAGUUGACAAAAACUACAAGUAAGGAUUCUCUGCAGUCUACAGACUUUACAUACACGCAAUAAGCACAUUAAUGACUGUUGGAUCAAGAUUGAAGGGUCUAGGGAUUCCAAACCCAGUGUCAUUGAUUUUAAAAUAAUCAAAAGCUAAAUAUUCUGUGAACUUUUUGAUCUUGAUCCAUCAUCAACCGAUGAUUUGUCUGCGUGAAUCUAGGGUAGCCCAACUACACGGAAUCUAUUUCUAAAAACUAAUGUUUCUUAAUGAAUUCAUUUACCUUGCAAUCAUGGUUUGAGUUCAAUCCUUUUGAAUCAUCUGAUGGUUUCAAAGUAUCAGUAACAUCAAGUAUAUAUAUCUUAACAGGCACUAUAAAAUCAUCCCAAUCAACCCAUUUUACAGUGUAUCUUAGGUAGAGACUUCUCUUUGGACCCUCAAAACCUUCCUUCAACUUGCAUUGUGUAUGGUCAUAACAACAUAACAAACCUCCUUUAUAAUCUGGCCCAAUAGACCUUCCAUAUUCAUCCACUGUAACAUUAUAAAGGUCGCACUUGCACUCAGUGCACCCUAAUUUAUCCUCUGCGCCUCGCGUAUCAAUGGCAUGAACAUUAAGCAACCAUUUAUCCUCAAACCCUUGUGGAAUCUCUUCAGGAUUACCUAUCUCUAUACCGAAAGGAUCUGGAAUAUCUGUUGUCGUUCCUCGUGUUUCUGACCCAAGUCCAAAGUAUUGUGAAAUAGCAUUUCCCUGGCAUAUGCCACUGUUCCUUACAAGAACAUGAUCAGAGUUUUGAAGCAUCAUGUGGCUAACAUCUUCUGUGUGUGUGACAUAUUUUCUUUGAUAAUGUCUUUGAACAAGCCAAUGAUGGAGAUAGGUUUCAUGGAGAGGUAUAGGAUUACCAGCAUCAUCAACUACUUCAGCAUUGAAACUCUUUAGUGCUAUAUGCCCUCUUGGAAAAUCAAUAUCAUAAUAAUGUUUAUUGAUAACUGAUCCAGGUCCAAGUUCAAACUUAGGGGACAGAAAAACAGCUGAUUUGAUUUUAUCUUCGGCCUUCACAAAGGAACUUGAGCAUGUUGUACCAAACAAUAGUAGAAGUAUUGCCUCUAAAAAUACAAAAUCUCUAGAUACAAAACACAUGCUGAUCUGUCAUGGAGUUUUUUUAUUAGUAAUUCAUAAUUAUUGAUUAAAACAAAACAAAACAUCUUUCCUUUAAAAUAUUAUUAACUACAGUACAAAGUAAACGAGGUCGUGGAUUAAUACUUAAAAAAUAUUUAAAAAUCUUUUUUUUUUUUUUUUUGUGGCCGGGUUUCGAACUCCAUAUCUUGUAUAUUUUAUGUAUUGUCAAUAUCAAUUGAUCUAAACUCACGAGGACAAAUAUUUAAAAAUCUAACGACGAAAUAUGUCGUUUUUUUUUAUUUUUUUAUUUUUUUAUAGUAAAUGUUAAUAAUCUUCAUCAUUUUUAUAAUUGAAAUAAUAUUUCUUUUUAGUAAGUAACAUAAUUGCUAGACUUACACACUAACGGUGUAGAGAAGUGGAAAAUCUUUAGUUUAAACCUUUGCCCCUGUAGUUAAAUGUUCUUAGAACUAUCAAUUAAGCUGCAUUUAUAAGAUUGAAAUAAUAAUUUAACUGAUAUUCAUUUUAUUUAAAACAACGAAAAAUAAAUAUUUAACUUGUAUUCAACCAACAUUAAUCAAGUCACUGUUUUAGCCGUAAAUAAGACAAAUGUCACAAAUUUUUAUUUCUAAAUAGUGUUGUUAAUAAUCGUUAAUAUUUCAGAUAAUCUUAAGCAUCGGUUCAUGAUAUAAAGAAAAAUUUGUCCAUAAAAUUUCCGUGAGCUUAGAUCAGUUGGUAGGGAUAUUGCAUGUUAUAUGUAGGGGCCGGGGUUCGAACUCCGAACACCCCAUUUCUACACAUUUAAUUGUGUGAGCUCUAUCCACUAGGCUACUUGACAUAAAGAAAAAUUUGUCCAUAAAAACACUCGACUGACAUAAACUAAUGAUCAAAACACUAGUAUUUUUUUAUUACUCCCUCUCACCAUUUAUAUGACAUCUUUUCCAUUUCUUUUUAAAAAUAUUUCCACUAUUUCUUUGUCAUGUAAUUUAAGACUUUUUAAAAAAAAUAUUAAGAAUUUUUUUUGAGAAAGGGGAAUCUAUUAUUAAUAAGUGGCACUAAAAUAUUUUUUUAAUGGCAAAAUAUAUUACUCUCUCCCUUUUAUAUCUUAAACACCAUUUUAUUAGAGCUAAAGGUUGCUUACAUAUAAGGGGAUUAAAUCCCAAGUAUUACACCAAAAAGAGAAAAAUAAAAACACCAAAAAAAACUCCAAAGAAAAACAAUCAGCACCCUUAAAAUGUCGGAUCACCUAACAAUAGCUCCUAAAAAACCAACACCACCGACAAUGGACAAUUAAGCAACCGAUAAUGAUUUUGCACUAAAGUAUUUUUACAAUUGUCUUCGAGAAGACUCAAAUUAAUACCUUAAAAUCAUGUACAAUAUCAAACUUUUACCACUAAACUAGCACAUCGAAGUAUUUUUUCACAAAAUUUCAUGUGCAUUGAUAAUUUUUUUUUAUAGAAAUGCUCCCUUUUAAUUUACCAAUAAAAAAAUAGAUACAUAUUGUCUUUUAUGAUAUUAAUAGUUUAUAGGGAAAAAUAUGUAACACGACACACAUUUCAGUCAAACUUACUACUCCAUAUAUAAUUUUUCUUAGGCUUAAAUGCACUUUUGACCCCCUAUGUUUGCUAUGGUAGAAAUUUUAGCCUCCUAUUAAAAAAAAAAAAAAAAUUCAGCCCCCUAACUUCAUCUGCUUUUGCAACCCAUAAGCCCCCUCUGAUUUUGACUUGGUCAAAGGUUACUGUGUAAUUUAAAAUAAAAAUAACAAAAAAAAGAAAUUAAAAAUAAUUAAUAGCCUUAGGAUUAAAAAUCGGUGAUCAAGAUUUAAAGAACUCACAUGCUCCCUCUCUUAACUAAUUUUCCCUUCUCCACUCAUUACUACUUCAUGUUCUCCUUCUGAACAACACAAACCCACCCAGAAAAGUCAAGCUCGAUCAGUCUCCAUAUCAUCAACACAUAACCAGAAACUAGAAAACUCCAUCACCUUCAUAUCCAUCGACACAAAACCAAAAAACCUAGAACAAGGACAAGAACAUCAUCUUCAUAACUCAUCACCCCAAAAAAAUCAAACCCUUCGAUUCUAAAUUCAAAUUCAUCAACUAAUCAAACCCAAAAAAACUCAAAGGUGCGAAUAAAUACUCAUGGUGAGUGGCUUGUGGUAAAUCGUAAAAAGAAGAAAACUCCACCAAUUACAGUGAAGAAAAAAUAGAUGGGACAAUUAAUUAGAAACUCAAAAAACUUGGGUGCAUUCAAGUUGCAAUUAAAGGAGGAAUUAAGUCAAAUGAUAAUUAUGAAGAAGGAAGGGAUAAGGCGCAAAUCAUGUCCGAUGGAGGAAGUGAGAAACCACAAAAAACGUGGUGAUGUGGAACCACAAUAGCAGAAUUUUAUGGAACACCGCGCCGGUGUUCUCAACCUUCCAUUAUUUUUUGUUUGAAAUUGAUUUUUCUAAUCUAGAUCUGGAUGAAAAAUAGAGGAAGAAAGAGAAGCGAUUGAAGAGGUGACGGUGGCCGUGUUUUACAUAAAGGGUGACCCUUUAGUGAAGGGAAGUGGCGGUGGAUAGUCAUGGUGGUGGUGGAAUUUCUCUAUGAAGAUGAUGUGAGAACAAGAGAAUAGAAGAAGAAAUGGGGUUUAUUAGAAAGAAGGGACACAAUAACACUUACAUUGAAUCUUUUAAUGUUGACCAUUGAUUUAAUCCUAAGGCUAUUAAUUAUUCUUAUCAUUCUUUUUCAUUUAAAUUUAAUUUAGUAAUAGCCUUUGAUCAGGUCAAAAUUAGAGGGGGUCAAAGAAGGGUGAAGUUAGGGGGCUGAAAAGUGAUUUUUUUAAUAGGGGACCAAAAUUGUUACCAUGACAAAUAUAGGGGCCAAAAAUGCAUUUAAACCUUUUUGUUAAUAUUCAUAAUUUUAUGUAGAGGUUCCUGCUUCCUAUGAUAAGGGACGAAUGAAGUAUAGACAAAGCCAUGAAUAACAUUAGACGCUGAUUAGAGAAACGUGAGUGAAAAAGGGUGGAGUAUAGUGCAGGUAUAUUGAAGAACAAAUAUAUGAAAAACUAAGGGGGGUGUAUUGAAUUGGGAUUUCAAGGGAUUUUAAAAGACUUUUUUAGAAUGAAAAAGUCUAGUGGUAUUCAAUCAAGACUUUUAUAAAAUUUAAACAAAUCUUGUGGUAUUCAAUCAAGACAAUCAUGACUUUUUUUUUAAGGCAACAAAAUCCGUUGGUAUUCAAUUGAGAUUUCUCAUGACUUAUGAAUUGUCCAUUGGUAUUCAAAAGUCUAUAGAUUUUGAUGGAUUCUUGGAUGGAAUGGAUUUUGUGAGACUUUUUAGUUAAAAAUAUCUCUUCCAACAAUCUCACAGAAACCCUUGAGAUUUUGCCAUUGUCUUGCAAACCUUUCUGCCGUCAUCUUCCAUGCCAGUUUUUUCUUUUCUCUAUCAAAUUCUUCAACUUCCAUUUCUUGUGUCUGAUUCUCUUUUUUUUUUUCCAUUACUUUUUUUUUGUUUCAAUUACUUUUUUUUAUCUGUAUACUCUUUUUGUCCAUAUCAAUUACUAUUAUUUGUUUUUGUCUGAUUCUUGCCAAUGCAAUUUUUUUUGUUCGGUUAAUUUUUUUUGUUCAAUACUAUGCUAUGCUAAUCUUCCCCGUCCCCAUCGUCCCUCAGAUUAUUUUUUCAUUGGCAAAUUCGUCAACGCCGAUUGCUUUUUUCCUUCCCACGUUCAACGGUGUCGAUGGAACGCGAUUAACCAAUCGUCCUUACUUUUUUUUUUUUUUUUUUUUUUUUUUAUCAAAUCAAUGUUUUUUACUCAAAAGCAUAAUUAUUUUUAUAGUUUUUGUCUUCUUUUUGUUCGAUUAAUUUUUUUUGUCUGAUUCUUGUCAAUGCAAUUUUUUUUUGUUUGAUACUUGAUUUUUGUUUAUUAUUAUUAUGAGUGUUAAGUUUAUUAUUGGUAUUUUUUUUCUUGUUAUUCCUAUUGAAUAUAUAUAUUGGUAUAUAGUUACUAUACUUUUGGCAAUUAGGAAAAAAAAACUGUUCUUGUGAAAUAACUAGUUUGUUAUAUAUGUAUAUAUUAGUGAUUAAAUGGGGGAUUCACAACAAGAAAAUAAUAGAGGGAAGGGUAAGGACAAAGAUGGCUAUGUAGCUUGGACCAUGGAGGAAACUAGUGAGUUGUUGUACCUUUUGGUGGAUGCUAUAAAUAGAGGGUUACGUGAUGCCAAUGGGUCCCUUAGUAAACAAAAUGUAGAGCGAGCUAUCCUUCCUCAGCUCAAUGCCAAAACUGAAUCACAUAAAACUUAUAAUCAUUACUUGAGCCGAAUGAAGUGGUUUAGAAAUCAAUACAACAAGAUGUCAACGUUUAUGCGUAACAACUCUGGUUUUGGAUGGGAUUCCGUUGCGAAGACUUACACGGCUACUGAAGAAGUAUGGAAUAAUUACUUAAAGGUGAGCUAAGUUCAAAAUCGUUUAAAAGUAUGAUUGAUUUUUAUUUUUUUUUUGUAAUAUUUAUAGUAUAUUAAUAGUGAAUUUUUUUUGUUUUUUAGUCCCAUCCAUCUCACAAAAAUCUUAAAGGAAAAAGUAUGAUUGAUUAUGAUUAUUUGAAGAUUGUUGUUGGAGGUGGAGUGUCUAGCGGAAAUAAUUCUAUAGCAUUAGACCCUGAGGAUACUGAUGCAACAACUUUUGAGCAAGAAAGUGAAAGUUUUGGAAUGGAAGAUUUUUCAUAUGAUCCCAAUAGUGAUACAUUCAUAGCACCAGAUAACUUUUGGUUGUACUUUUGUUAAAGUAUUUGGUUUGCUUUUUUUUUUUUGUUUAACUAAUGGUUGUAUUUGGAUUGAAGAAUUUAGUUCUGUAUGUUUUGUGAGACUAAUGUGGUUAAAAUUUAAUUAUAUUUUCAUUAUAGUAUUUUAUAUAUUACUUUGCAUUGACUCUUACACUACCUUAAAUAUUGUCUUAUAAUCAUGGCAAUGACAUAGAGGACGAAGAAAUUGAUUAUGAAGGAAUGAGUGAAGAUAUAGAUACUGAAGCUAUAGAUGAUGAUGAUGAUGAUGACGAAGAUGAUGAUGAUACAAAUGAUGAAGAAACAGAUGAAGAAUUGUAUGAAGCCAUAUACAUGUAUAUGAUGGCAAUUCAUGCUUUAAUGCACGUGGUAAAUCAGUUUUUGAAUAUGAUGCGUGGUGAACAUGUUGAACGUCCAUUAACUCGACGACGAAUUACAAGUAAGGGAUAUGACUAUAUACAUAAGUCAUUGAAUGGGGAUUCUGAAAUCUUUCGACAAGUAUAUAGAAUGUAUCCUGAUGUAUUCCGAAAGUUAUGCAUGAUUAUAAGAGAAAAAACACCUUUGGUGGAUACAAGAUUUAUUUGUAUUGAAGAAAUGCUUGCGUCGUUCUUACAGAUUGUCGGUCAGAAUACUCGAUAUUGUAUAAUUAGAAAUACAUUUGGCCGAUCACAAUUUGCUGCAAGUGAAAAUUUUCACAAGAUUUUGAAGGCUUUGAACUCAAUAGCACCUGAUUUGAUGGCUAAACCAACCUCAAGCGUGCCUGCAAAAAUAAGGGAAAGCACAAGAUUUUAUCCUUACUUCAAGGUAUGUGAUCAUUAUCUAAUUAUAAGAGAAUUGUAAAUAUAAUCAUCUUUAUUAUAAUAAUAUUUUUUUUAUGGUUAUAUAUGAAUACACUUUUAGGAUUGCAUUGGAGCUAUUGAUGGUACGCAUAUUCCUGCAUUGGUAAGAGGACGAGAUGUAAGCAGUUAUCGUGAUCGUCAUGGAAGGAUAUCACAAAAUGUAUUAGCUGCUUGUAAUUUUGAUUUGGAGUUCAUGUACGUUCUCAGCGGGUGGGAGGGUUCAGCCCAUGAUUCCAAGUUGCUAAAUGAUGCUUUGAAAAGGAAGAAUGGACUAAAAGUGCCCCACGGUAAGUAAUUAAUUUUUAAAAUAUACUGAUGUUGUUUUUCUUUCACUUUCAUACUUAUUUUAUAUGUAUUUUAAAUUUAAUUAGGUAAAUAUUUUCUGGUGGAUUGCGGAUUUGCUAAUCGACGCAAAUUUUUAGCUCCACAUCGAGGUGUGCGAUAUCAUCUACAAGAUUUUGCAGGUCACGGUAAUGACCCUGAAAAUGAAAAAGAGUUAUUCAAUCUUCGGCAUGCGUCUUUAAGGAAUGUGGUUGAGAGAAUAUUUGGUAUUUUUAAAUCGCGUUUCACAAUUUUUAAGUCAGCACCUCCAUUUUUGUUUAAGACACAAGCAGAACUUGUGUUGGCAUGUGCAGCACUUCAUAACUUUCUUCGCAAAGAAUGUCGUUCCGAUGAAUUUCCAAUUGAACCUUCUAACGAGUCUUCAUCUUCAUCUUCAAUGUUACCUAUUCAUGAAGACAAUAAUGAUGAACUCAAUGUUCAAACACAAGAGCAAGAACGAGAAGAUGCUAAUAUAUGGAGGACUAAUUUAGGUUUAGAUAUGUGGAGAGAUGUACAAGGAAUACCGUGAUACUACUCUAAACGGUGAUUCAGUGAAUCACAUUUCCCUUUUCAUAUUGGGAGAUGCUAAUAUCUAAAGAUAAUCUUGUUUUAAGAAACUUCAUUACCAGCAAGACAUAUUUUGCUUUUUUCCUAGUUUGUUAUUUACGAAAUAUAUUUUGUUUUAUCUUUUUGUUAUGCAGUUAUUUGUUUUUCUCUUUUUGAUGUACCGGUACAAGCUCGAUUUUGAAUCUAGAGAUCACUUUGUUUCGGAAAAAAAAAAUUAUUUGUUUACUAUUUCUAUCAUUCACGGUUGUAAGUUUGUUCUUUUUCCGCUAAAGUUCAUUGAAUCCUUUGAAAUAUUAAAAUCUCAUAAAAUCCUUUGAAAUCCUUAAAAUUCAGUGUGAUAAAUCCCAUAAAAUCCUUUGAAAUCCUUAAAAGUCAGUUUGAUAAAUCCCUUAAAGUCUUUUAAAAUCUUACAGAAUCAAUACAAUCCCACAAAGUCUUUUAAAAUCUUAAAGACUUUUUUUGUUAAAAAAGUCUUUUAAAAUCCUAAUCCAAUACACCCCCCUAAAGUAAAAAAAUGUAACUUCACACCAAAUUAAAUUGAGAUAUGAGUCAUUUGAAACAAACGUGUAAAGUUGUGAGAAAAAAAAUUAAUGAACACAAAAUUAAGAGAAUAGAACCUGGAUACGACAGAGUUUGAGCUUUGUUUGAUGAGAAAAUUAGAGUGUGGUGUUAAACUAGAUUCACUUAUACUUAUAGAUGAAACAAAUUCAAACUAGAAGAGAAGAUGUAUAGGGCUUGAGUUGCGUAUCUCACAUGAGAAAGUUCUUCACAGUCACACUAGUCAUUAUAUGCACGUUUUCUUCAUAAUUUAUUUUGAAAAUUGUUUUUCUCUAUUUUAAAAUUGUUCAUUUUCUAUAGUUAAUUCCGACAUUUUUCAGCUAGACUAAACUCUCAUUCUAUAAUGAGUAAUUUUUUUUUUGACAAUUUAUUCUUAAUUUUGUUGAAGAGUAUAUAUUCAAUAUUUAACUUGCAAUUGAGUUCUUAUUAAUUUUUAGUUAAUUAAUUUAAUGUUUUGAUUUUUUAAAGUCCACUUCGGCUAGAUGACAAUACUUCCAACUUACAAGUCAUCAAAAUUUCCCAACAAGGUGUAUUAUUUGAGGAAAACAAAUUGAGACUAUGGAAUAAAAAACAAGGUACUUAAGGGGUCAAAAUUGCAUAAUUGAAAAAAUGGUAUAUUUUCAAAUUGAACACUUGAAAAACCUAGAGAGAAAAAAUUGCAUCUAAACCUAAUUUUUUUAAUAGUACACUAAUUAUUUAUAGUGUUUUAUAUUUUAGGCUUAACAAUAAUUUUGUCCCCUAUUUUUACUAAACAUACACUAAAACACUUGAGGUUUUAAGGUGAACAGCAAUCUAGGAUGAGUUUUACACUGUGUUUGAUAGAAGAGAAAUAAGAAAGAGAGAAAGAGGGAAGAGAGAAGUUGGAUAGAGAGAAGCAACUUCUCCUGUUUAGUUGAGAAUAGAGAUUAAAGAGAGAGACCAAAUAUGGUGGAACCCAUGCCUGUUUUAUUUCUUUCUUGAAUUGCGAAGAAAUAGAGUAGAGAUGUGAACUUUUUUUGCUCUUUUCCAAAACUAUCCCUGGUAUUGUGGCUAAUAUAAAACUAUUGUCCUUUUUUUUUUUUGUUAACACUGUUGUAUUGUUUUCAUGGUUUUUGUUGUAGCAAGGUAAAAACAAAAACUAAUACGCAACUCUCUUUCCUUUACCUCUUGAUUGGAAUCCUCUUAUAUUAUAAUAAAUAAAUUAAACUAGUAGUUAGUUAACUCUAAUGAAAUAGUUUAACCGAUUAAAUUGUAAAAUUGUAAAUAAAUAAUUAAUUAAGCAAAUAAGUUAUCAAAUUUCUUUGUAAAAAAAUUACUUAGUUUCUUAAUUAAAUUAAUGUAAAAAAUUAUAAGUUAUCAGUUUUUAUAAGAAUUCAUAUAUAAUAAAAUUGUAUAUUAAAGUUUAGUAAGGAUAUUUUGGUCUUUUCAAAAGUUUAACACACUUCUCUCUUCUCUAUUUCUCUCAUUUAUCUCUUAUACUAAACAAUAGGUCAAAUCUACUCUAUUUCUCACCUAUUUCUCUCUUCCUAUACUCUCUCUUCACAACUUCUCUCUUUAUAACUUCUCUCCUAAACCAAACACACCCUUAAAGUUUGGAGAAGGCUAACAACUUUCACUUAAGGCAUUGUUUAGGGCUUGCUGUUAAGGUAUAUACAAAGUUUACAAAAGUAAGUUUAAUUAAAUAUAGUUUUUCAAAAUUAAGUUUGAUUAAAAUGAGUUUGUUCUCGUGUGCUUUUUCUUUGGAUAAGUAAACCAAGGCAUUUCAAUUAUGUUGCCACUUCUUAUUUACUGUUACCUAUCAUAUGCAUUUGGUAUGUUGCGGUUUACUGCUAUUGAUCAUUCUGUUUGUCAAAAAAUCUAUUUGAUAAACAAUAAUGAAGAGGAUGUAAAAUUAGUUGGCUAGAGCUCAGUUAGUUAACUAGCUGGUAGUUUCAGUUACAAUACUGUCUUGGUUACACUACACUGCCUCUCAAUAGUAGCCAUUACAAGUCCAGGGCUCGCGACAUGAAACACGCCUUGGCAUCGUUGCAAUAGCAUGGUUCAAUCGAGGAUUCUUUAAUUCUCUUGCUCCCAAUAUCAAACAAAGUGCGAUUUACAUUACGAUUACAAUGAAGCAACUACAUAGUAGAACAAACUUAUUGCAUAGCCAUACGAUACAAAAAAGAGUGGAAUAAGUACAAAAUACAAACUAUAUAUCACAAAAAUGGCAUCAAGCUUGUCUUUCUCCUAUAGCUAGCAGAAUACAGAUAGAAGUGUAAUUGAUCAGUUACACUUGUCAAACUUAUUCUUCUUUGAUCAAUCAUAUAUUACUUUGACACCAUCCAUGAAACUCCACUUAUAUUAUCAUAUAUGUAACUAAUUAUCUAAAAGUAUAUUAUUUAUAUCCAUAAAAAAUGAAGAACGAGUAGAAUGUCUGAAGUGUUGGUAUGGGAGCUGUUCUGCCACCAAUAGGUAGAAAAGUCCCAUUACUCCGGUGUGCUCCUUGGUGCUGUUGUAGUUAGACUCUAGAGUUAAAGUUUCACCAUCAAUAAUCUUGACAGAACCUGGUUUAGGAUAACAAGUGGACAUUCCUACAAUGUAUCCCGCUUCAUUUCCUGCUUCGCUUCCAUUUCCAUAACUUGGUAUAGAGGAACAUAUAACCCUUCCAUCCUGAAAACAUAAUCCACAAAUUUCACAAAACAAGCCACUACACAAUGUUUAACUUCUUGAUCAAAAGUAAAAUUGUUAGAAUAGCAACUCCGGUUCAAAAGUAAACAGAUAUGAAAAACACAAAAAGAGAACAUACGAAAUUCGAUAAUGGCGUUCGGUCAAUUAUGUCUACCGUUUAGUUUAACAUAUUACAACUCGUGUAUAAAUACUAAGGUCAAGUUUACAAGAUAGCCCUUGAACCAUACCCGUGUUAAUAAACUCAACAAAAAGAAACAUUGACGGUCCUCAAUAGCUAAUAAAUCAAACUAUUUUCUUGUUAGCUAAACAUUUCUUACUAUCAAUUGAAAACAAUCACGUGCUAAGACUAAAAAAAAAGGUGAUAAUUUAUAGUUUAUUUUUAGAGGAAGAAUCAUUAUUAGAAAAUGAUAUAUCAGUUAUACAAUUGUUCUCGAGGGGGUUUGAACUCUGUCUCUUGAAGUCACAAUGUCAAAAUAUUCCCAUUGAGCCGACACCAAGCAUUUAAGAAUGACUUAAGUUACCUGUCCAUAUAGAGUUGAUCCAAUUCCGCCUGAAUGUUGAUGAGCAGCACCAUAGAUCAUAUAGCCACCAGUUUGAAAUGGGAGACUUGUCCUCUUCACAUGAACACAGGAAUUUCCCUCCUUAUGGUCUGUGCUGCAAGAUUCAACUUGAUACUCAUUCUGAAACAAAGAAAACCAUGUUGCUCACUAUAUACCCAAAGUUUUAUGUUUUAGAGUUAAAUUGAGAUUUACACAAACAAAGUACGUGUAUGGAUUCCCUGCAGUCGAGAGACUCUACAUUCAUACAAUCAGUAACACAAUAACUGUUGGAUCAAGAUUGACGAUAAUAAAUUCCAUGCCUGCAGUAUUUUGGAUUUUAGAACAAUCGAAAUCUGUAUAUUUUGUGAAUUGUCUGAUCCUGAUCCAACAGUACACUGAUGGAUUGAUUGCGUGAAUGCAGGGCAUCCCAACUACACGGAACCCAUUUCGACAAACAUGUUUCGUAAUGAAUGCAUUUACCUUGCAGUCAUGAUCUGAGUUCAUUCCUUUUGAAUUAUCUGAUAGUUUCAAAGUAUCAGUAACAUCAAGUAUAUAUAUCUUAACAGGCACUAUAAAAUCAUCCCAAUCAACCCAUUUAACAGUGUAUCUUAAGUAGAGGCUUCUCUUUGGACCCUCAAAACCUUCCUUCAACUUGCACUGUUUAGAAUCAUAACAACAUAACAAACCUCCUUUAUAAUCUGGCCUAAUAGACCUUCCAUAUUCAUCCACUGUAACAUUAUAAAGCUCACACUUACACUCAGUGCACCCUAAUUUAUCCUUUGUGCCUCGCGUAUCGAUGGCAUGAACAUUAAGCAACCAUUUUUCGUGAAACCCUUCUGGAAUCUCUUCAGGAUUGCCUAUCUCUAUACCGAAAGGAUCCGGAAUAUCGGUCGCCGUUCCACGUGUUUCGGAUCCAAGGCCAAAGUAUUGUCCAAGAGUAUUUCCUUGACAUAUGCCACUGUUCCUUAUAAGCACAUUAUCAGAGUUUUGUGUUGCAUGUUUACUUUGAUGAUAUCUUACAACAAGCCAAUGAUGGAGAUAAGUUUCAUGGAGAGGUACAGGAUUCCCUGAUUCGUCAACUACUUCAGCAUUGAAACUCUUGAGUGCUACAUGACCUCUUGGAAAACCAAUAUCAUAAUAAUAUCCAUUGACAACUGAUCCAGGUCCUAGCUCAAAUUUCGGGGACAAAAAUACAGCUGAUUUUAUCUUAGCUUCAGUCUUCAUAGAAGAACCUGAGCAUUGUAUACAUAACAACAGCAGAAACAUUGCCCAUAAUAAUACCAAAUCUCUAGCUACAAAACUCAUGUUGAUCUGUCAGGGAAGAAAUUAUUAGUUAUUAACUAACUAAUUGUUGAUUAAAGACAUACCAAAACAAGAUAAAUAAGCAUGGUUGGAUCUAACACAAAACUGAUUUGUGGAGUGAGGAGUGUCUCUCUUUAUAAACUCUAUUCGUUAGACGUUAUCUUUAGUCUAUCUAUGUGGGACUUGGUUUUUCCAAAACACUGAGUGACCCGAAUCGAUAUGCUCUGAUUUCAUAUUAGAUUUUUAUAUUAGACUUCAUUCAUCCUUACAAAAUCGGUUUAUGAAGUGGGGUGUAAGUCUUUUAUAAACUACUAAAAUCUAAAUUAAUGUUAUGAAUGAAUACAAUUGUGGUGGUCACAGAACAAUUUUAAAACAUUAAUUAUAACAUAAACUUAUGAGCAGACAACUUUUUAUGAUGAAAGUAAAAAGGUUUACCUGGAUAAAUUUAUAGGGAUAUAACAAGCAAUAGGCAGAAACAACAUGUAAGAGAUUGCGUACCUCAAAAAGUUUGACGAAAACUUAGAGUGUGUGUAGGUCGGUAUCAACAUUCAAAGUAUAUUUAUAGAUUAUUAAUGAAUGAAAGUGUACUAAAGAGCCACCUCAUCACGUGAGAACGUUCAACUAAAUCUGUCCUUUCAAACUUGGAGGAGAAGUAAAGUCCAAACGAGGUAUUUGGAUUAAAUUAUUUGUCUGUUUUGUUAUUUCUUCAAUUGGAUAUGCGUUGGAAAAUCUAUGGUCGACAACUUAAGGCAUUCACCACCUAGUCGACACACUUGUUAUGGUUUGGCUAUAGCCGGCCACUCUAGAAUUUAAAAAAAAGAAAAAUGAGAAAUUUCUUUUUUGACGAUUGAAAUUAGUUGUUAAUAUGUUUAGCGAUUGAAAUUGUGAUUGAUAUUUCAAACAUUAAAGUAUAAGAUAUUAAAAAUUGGUCGCUACUUACUGACAAUGUAUACAUUAUACGGUCUAAAAAUUCAAUUUUGAUAUUUUUAUUCAAAAUAGUCUAUCCUAAAAUUAUAAAUUAUACAAUUUAAUUCCAACAAUCACAAUGAUCGCAAAUUUCUAAAAUUAUUAGAAGGGAGUUUUUUUUUUUUAUUUAUUUAAGGACUAGAAGGGAGUUUAUUUCUAGAGUUUAGAGCAUAUAUGAUAUCGAUUAUUAUGAUAAAAUAUAUGUAUUUUAUAUAGCAUUUCCUCUCAAAUGAAAAAACAGAAGAUACAUCAAGAUCACGAAACUUUAAUUCAUCGUUUAAUCUUAAAAUUUAGUAUUUCUACAAGUAUAUUUAAAACAAAAUUUAGAAGAAGAAACUCUAUUAAAAUUUUAGAUAAUUCAACGAGUUUAAAUUAAAGAAUAAGAAUUUAAAUAUGUUGGGUUCAAAUCUGAACAAAAUAAUAAAUAUUAAUAUAACAACUAAUUAUCAAUACAACCUUAACAAAAUAGAAAUUUUUGAGAGAAACUUUAACAAGUUUUUUUUUUUUUUUUUUGACAAAACUUUAACAAUACGGAUUAAACACGGAAACCAAAUACGGAUAAUUAUAGGUAAAUUUAUAAAUGCCCUAUAAAAUAAUUUGAAACAUCCAAAUACGGAUUAAACACGGAAACCAAAUUCUAUGUAUUAUGUUGUCACUUUUAUAUGCUGGGUCAGCCAUGACGUUUUAGAGCGACAACUACAAGGAGGUAGACAAUUUUGUUAGGAAAUAAAAACAAUAUUUUGAAAAGGACAAUAAAUCGAAUCAUCAACAUUUUCCAGGGUACAAAAAUCAAAUAGAAGUGAGAAAGUCAGAGGCACAAUUGGACCAGAGAUGAAUACUAUUGAAAAACAUCAAAACAUACCAAAAGUAUAACAUAACUUAUUUGAAUAAUAUAUCUGUCAAAAGUUCUUUUCAACUUCUAAUUAUAAAAAGUACUAUAUAAGAUAAUUUGGUGAAUGAAAUCCCUCAAAUGAAAAAUAGAGAACAAAAAAAGUAUGUUUGAAGUCAAACUUAAUUUGUUUUACAUUUUUCAUUUUCAAAGACAAAAACAACUUAUAAUUAAAAAAAAGUGUCACGCUAACUUGUGUUUUCAAGAUUACAUUUCUACUUUAAUUUUUUUUUUUUUUUUUUUGACAAAAUGUUUAAUUUUUUAUCAUGUAUCUUUAAGGUACAAGUUAUGCCUUCCGGCACAAGUUACCAUUUACUUUAAAAUAAAUGUCCUCAAAUACAAGAUGCGAGGAAAAUCUAACAGAUUUAAGCUGACUAAGCAAAAAAACAAAUUACGAAAACAAAGCAUCCCAACGAUUACUACGUUCAUUGUAGCACGCAAUCACUUUAACAAAUUGUGCCAUUCUCCAAUCACACAUACAAGACUCAACCUACAUAAUUAUGCAGAUCACUCUAAUGAGAGACCCUGCACAAAUCCUUUCCCAAAAACUUGCAGCCACACUUAAAUAAUUAAACCUUGCACCAAUUACAUAAAUGAAAGUACAUUAGGUUAUGAAAAAGUACUUCUGUUUUAAAUGCAAUUUGUCUACUUCAAACUACACUUAGAAAAUUCACUUUUUCUAAUCUCAUUAGGAUAUGAAAAUUGCAUAAAUUAUGUUGGCUUAAAUGUACUUUUGGUCACCCAAAUUCACUUUUUUUUUUUUUUUUUCUGAAUUUUUCAUCCUCAUAGCAUUUUUGGAUUUAGGUUUGUGGUCUAUCCAUUAAUGACGUGGUAGAGCUUAUAUGGCCCCAUUAAACAUCCAUACUGAUACCAUAAAAAAAGGACCUAAGCAAAAAUAACCUAAAGCAAUGUAUUGUGGCAAAAUUGGUUACUGUUGACGUAUGUUUUCGUAAGCAUAGCUUUCCCUUUCAAGCCAAAUGGAGCUUCUUCAUCAGCUCACAAUUAGGACUCUAAUCAGAUACAUUUCAUACUAAAUGGAAGUCCCUUUUGCAUUACAAUUGCAAUGAAGCAGGUACAUGGUAGAACAAACUUCUCACAUUAUCACAUAGCUAGCUGAAUAGAGAGAAGUGUAAGUAUUCGGUUGCCCUUAACAAUUAAUCACUCAUAUUUUACUUUGAUACCAUCAAUGACACGCCAUUUAUAUUAUGAUUUAAGUAACUAAUUAUCUAAAAGUAUAUUAUUUGUCCAUAAAAAAUGAAGAACGAGUAGAAUGUUCUGCCACCAAUAGGUAGAAAAAUCCCAUUACACCAGUGUGUUCUUGGCUAUUGUUGUAGUUAGACUCUAGAGUUAAAGUUUCACCAUCAAUAAUCUUGAUUGAACCUGGUUUAGGAUAACAUGUGGACAUUCCUACAAUGUAUCCCACUUCAUUUCCUGCUUCGCUUCCAUUUCCAUAACUUGGUUUGGAAGAACAUAUAACCCUCCCAUCCUGAAAACAUAAUCCAUCAAUUUCACAAAACAAGUUAUUGAUCUAUUAUACCAUGUUUAACUUCUUAAACAAACCAGUAUACAAUGAAAACAAGCACCGAUAGUCCUCAACUGCUAAUUAUUCACACCAUUUACUUGUUAAUUAAACAUUUGCUAACCUCAAUCGAAAACUAUUACAUGAACAAAUAGAAGGGAUUAUAUAUAAUCACAAAGUAGUGUUGUCUCGGAGUCCGACUAUACAUCUUUAAUCUCAAGUGUCGGUACUUCCAAGUAUUUAAGAAUUAGUAUAAUCUAUCUUUAACUAUUGGAAAUUACCUGUCCAUAUAGGGUGGAUCCAAUUCCACCUGAAUGCUGAUGUGCAACACCAUAGAUCACAUAUCCACCAGUUUGAAAUGGGAGACUUGUCCUCUUCACAUGAACACACCCAUUUUCCUCCCUAUGGUCUGUGCUGCAAGAUUCAACUUGAUACUCAAUCUGAAACAAAGAAAUCCAUGUUGCUCACUAUGAUACCCAACAAUGGGCUAGUGUUACAUUUAAGAGUUAAAUCGAGAUUGAGACAAAUAAAUUACUAAUUUGGAUUCCUAGCAGCCGAGAGACUCUACAUUCACGCAAUCAGCACAGACUGUUGGACCAAAGAUCAGAAGGUCCUAGAUUUCAAGCUCGGUAUUUUGGAUUUUAAUCAAAAUAAUCAAUAUUCGUAUAUUUUGUGAACUGACUGGUCUUGAUCCAACAUUCAUUGAUGCAUUGACUGUGUGUUUCUUGAUGAAUUCAUUUACCUUGCAAUCAUGAUCAAAGUUCGUUCCUUUUGAGUUAUCUGAUUGUUUCAUACUAUCGGUAACAUCAAUUACAUAUAUCUUAAGAGGCACUAUAAAAUCAUCCCAAUCAACCCAUUUAACAGUGUAUCUUAAGUAGAGGCUUCUCUUUGGACCCUCAAAACCUUCCUUCAACUUGCACUGUGUACAAUCAUAACAACAUAACCAACCUCCUUUAUAAUCUGGCCUUAUAGACCUUCCAUAUUCAUCCACCGUAACAUUAUAAAGCUCGCACUUACACUCAGUGCACCCUAACUUAUCCUCUACGCCACGUGUAUCAAUGGCAUGAACAUUAAGCACCCAUUUAUCCUCGGACCCUUCUGAAACCUCUGCAGGAUUACCUAUCUCUAUACCAAAAGGAUCCGGAAUAUCUGUUGCUGUUCCUCGUGUUUCGGAUCCAAUGCCAAAGUAUUGUCCAAGAGUAUUUCCCUGACAUAUGCCACUGUUCCUCACUUUCACAAUAUUAGAACUUUGAAGCAUCCUUUUGCCAUCAUUUCUUGUGUGUGUGACAUGUUUACUUUGAUGAUAUCUUCCAACACCCCAAUGAUGGAGAUAAGUUUCAUGGAGAGGUAUAGGAUUACCAACUUCAUCAACUACUUCAGCAUUGAAACUCUUGAGUGCAAUAUGACCUCUUGGAAAAUCAAUAUCAUAAUAUUCUUUAUUGAUAACUGAUCCAGGUCCUAACUCGAAUUUUGGGGACAAAAAUACAGCUGAUUUUAUUUUAUUUUCAGCAUUCAAAAAAGAACUUAAGCAUGGUGAGCCAAACAAUAGCAGAAGUAUUGCCACUGAAAAAUGAAACUCUCUAGGUACAAACCACAUGUUGAUCUGCCAGAAAAAUAUUUAUUAGUGAUUCACUAAAUGUUGAUUAAAGAAAUAUUAAAUAGAUACAGAUUGCAACAAUUGUAUUAUUUUCAUAAAAUUUUCUGACAAGAUACUUCAAGAGAAGGCAAUCAGAGAUGAGUAUAAUGAUCAACAGGUAAAUCUAGAGGUAGAAAAUAAAUCACAAAGAGACGUUAAAAAAUUUAAUGUUUUGACUGCUGUUUGCAAAGAAUAUUUUUAAAACCUUAAUUAUGACAUAAACUUAUGACCAAACAUGUUUUGACCAAACAUUUUUUCUUUUUUUUUGAAGGAACCAAACAUGUUUUUUAGAAACAUGAAAUUGGCAGCAGGAGCAUGUAAAAGAAAAGAACAUGAAAUUAAGUUGUGUACCUCAGAAAGAUAAUCUGGAAACGACUCUUAAGUUCUUUGAAGUAUGUUGUAGUCUUUGUGGCUUAAGUUCUAUCUUAAGCAUUUCUUUUUUAUUUUUUUGCUAAUCUAUCUUAAGCAUUUCUUGUUCUUAAUAGAUAGUAUUAAUAUAUUUAUUUCUUUGCCUCUUCAAAAAAAGUAUGCUGUCGUUUUUAUGUGCUGGGUCAGCCAUGAUGUAUUACAGCAACAUUUUUUAGUUUAUCUUGGAGGUAGGUAAGUCAAAGUGAGGUUUAUCUAACUUAACCUUGGUUAUAACCGGUUAUGUCAUUUGUCUUAGAGUUUCAGAGUUGAAUUUUUAAGCAAGGACAAAAGUUAUGGUGCAUAAGCCAUUUCCUUCUGCACAGUUCAUAAACACUUCACAACCAUCAGAUUUCUUUUAUUUUGUGUUUGUCAUUUCUCUCUCUACUCUUUUGAAAAACAAAUUUUCUCUCACUCUCUCUAAGAAACUGAUCUGGGAUGAAGUUUCAUCUUCUACACACCUCCGGCCGCCCUAGGGCAGCGGUGGCGCCGCCGGAGUAUUAGGAAAUGGCUCCGAUUUCAAAAAAAAAUUCACUUUUAAAAAUCAUUUUCCUUCUAUAAUCCAACUUCAGACUCGGUUUUCAGAGAUAAACAACCAAACAGUGUAGAUCUAGGUUUUAACUUUGUUCCCAUUCCUUUCGUUUGCGUUCGAUUUCCUUCUUCUUCUGCUCCUUCGCCGCCGCUUUCUUAUAUGCUUUCUUUGCUUCCCAUCUCUGCUGUCUCGCUAGCUACUUCUUCGUGUUCUUGGGGAGUUCUGAAGUGGGUUGUGAUGGUUCUGGGUUUGGAGGUGGAACUGUGGAUUCGGGUUCGUGAUUUUCACCAUAACUGCACGAAUUUCCGCACCCAUGGGCGGGAUUUACUGCUGGAAACCAUUAAGUACAUCUAAUAGUUUUGGAGUACAACUGCCGGAAACCAUUAAGUAGAUCUAAUGGUUUUCCACGGCAAAAUGGUUUUGGCAUUCCGGUACGGUGAUGCUAACAGUGAUGAUGAUGAACGACGGUGUUGAUGAUGAGAUUUAAGAUUCUGGAAACCAUUUCCACAACAAAAUGGGUUUGUAGUACAACUCACAGAAACCAUUUACACAGCAAAAUGGUUUUGGCAUUCCGGUACGGUGAUGAUGAUCAAUGACGGUGUUGAUGAUGAGAUUGAAGAUUCCAGUGGUGAUGAUGAUGAACGACGGUGAUAAUUCAGUUUGUUUUCACGUUUUGUUUGUUUUGUUUUGUUUGGUUUUCUUUGGGGGUGUAGGAAACAAUUAUGUUGGGAUUUAUGCACCAUAACCGAUCUCAUUUUUAAGUGGUGAUGGAAAACGUUAUAUUUAUCUUUUUUUUUUUAAAGAAACAAACUCAAUUCAUUUCAUUAUAAAUCAUGGACCAGAUACAUGACAGUACAUCAUUGUAGAGGUGGGAGCUAGCAUUACAUAUGCUAUCUUUGAUAGUUCAUGAGCGACCCUGUUAGCUUGCCUCUGCCUAAACUUGACAUGAGAAUUUAGAAAAUUGUUUUGAAACAAUUGCUUACAGACAUAUAUAAUACAACCGAACUCAGUGACAUCAUUUAUACAUGUUCUAAAGGAAUCAACAACCUUCUUAGAAUCUAACACAAAGUCUACAUUAUCAAACUGAAGGUUUGCCACCCAAUCAAGUGUCGUACAUAAACUCAUUGCUUCACCCGCAUUGACGUCACAAAGCGGGGAGAACCAGGUACUUUUUGCAAGCAUAAAAUUACCCUCUUCGCCUCUAAGACAUUCCAAGUCCUACCUUAUUAAGCGACGAGGAGAACGAGGCAUCUAUUUUUCAUUUAUACCUUCUAGGGGCCGGUUUUACCCAUUGUUACCAAGCUAUAAGAGUCGGCCCAUGUGGAUCAGAACUAGAGGGAGUUACACUACCUAAACGAAUGACUUGUGCAUGUCUCCAUUCAUCCAUCAACUACUUUGCACGCUCUAUAACCUGCACAUUAGUCUCGUUAGUUUGUUGCCAAAGUUUCAGGUUUCUGUGUUCCCAUAGGCUCCAUAGUAUUGCUGCAAAAUUUUCACUCUGUAUUGGAGUAAGUUGUUGCUACAAAGUAAAAAUAACAGAAUUCAUAUUAUAAUCCUGACGAAGCACACGAUCAAUCUUAUCCCAUAAAUUCACGGCAUGCCAAACUUGCACAGCACUCAAGCAUUCCAAUAAAACAUGAAUGAUGUCCUCGUAAUUAUUUCUACAAAUUACACAUUCGGUUGGACAAGACACACCUCUACUACUACGUUGUGCUCGAGUGGGGAAACGAAACAGCCCAGACACACGCCACAAGAGAUUUUUUAUCUUGGGGGGAGAUUUAAUGUUCCAAAUUAAGUCCCAACGACCAGAUUUAUGCAAAUGAAUAUUGUCAACAAUUUCAUUCAUACAUAUUCUGUAAGCACUGCGAACGAAAUACCUACCAUUUUUUCAGCCUUUCCAAACCAAUUUUUCACAGUCAAAUGGGCAGUAUGUUGAUCAAAUAAGUUAUAAAUUAAAAGAGCAUUUCAUACUCUUUGCUGCUCUCUUUCACAUCGUUCACAUUCAAUGGGAAACAUGGUUACUUAUCUAAACAUUUCUCUCUCAAGUUUACUUUACUAUUAUGGUUUUUUGGGAGUUUCUUCGCUGCUCUCUUUCACAAUGCCUCCAGUUCUUCUUCUUUCACUAAUUUUUUCCUUCCCACAGUUGUUACAUGGUAGAACAGACUUCUAGCAUAGCCAUAUGAAACAAUAUAGUGGAUUCAGCCAAAAUUACAAAUUUGUUUUUCUCCUAUAGCUAGCUGAAUACACAGAAAUGUAAAUUAUUCAGUUACCCUUUUCAAUCAUCAUGUCUUUAUUCAUCUUUGAUAAAUCAAUCAUAUUUUACUUUGAUACCAUCAAUGACACGCUAUUUAUAUUAUCAUAUGUGUAACUAAUUAUCUGAAAACUUUACAUCCACUACAAAAGAAGAACGAGAAGUAAGUCUAAGUUGUUGGUAUGGGAGUUGUUCUGCCACCAAUAGGUAGAAAAGUCCCAUUACUCCAGUGUGCUCCCUGGUGCUGUUGUAGUUAGACUCUAGGGUUAAAGUUUCACCAUCAAUAAUCUUGACAGAACCUGGUUUAGGAUAACAUGUGGACAUUCCUACAAUAUAGGUUGCCUCAUUUCCUGCUUCAUUUCCGGUUCCAUAACUUGGUAUAGAAGAACAUAUAACCCUCCCAUCCUGAAAACAUAAUCCACAAAUAUCACAAAACUAGUAAAUGUAAAAAAUACAGUGGUUACUUCUUGAUCAAAAGUAUAAGAAACACUGAUAGUACUAAAUUGCAAAUAUAUGAUGCUAUUCUCUUCUUUGUUAAACAUUUUCUACCCUUGAUUGAAAACUAUUACAUGAACAAAUAGAGGUGAUUAUAUAUGAUAAAAAAUGUCAAUAUUGUCUCGGUGUCCGACACUACGACACAUCUUUAAUCUCAAGUAUCAAUGCUAUAUUAGGUGUAAAUAUAGAAUCCCUCUUAAGGGGCAGAAUCAUGAUUGAUUAUACCCUUCCAGAUUGUAGUGGGAGACUUGUCCUUUUCACAUGAACACACCCAUUUCCCUCCUAUUGAUCUGUGCUGCAAGAUUCAACUGAUACUCAACCUGAAACAAAGAAAUCUACGUUGCUCGCAAUAUACCUAACAAACUACUGGACUAGUGUUAUAUAUGUUUUAAGAGUUAAACUAAGAUUGAGAAAAACAAACAAUGAGCAUGGAUUCCCUGCAGUCGUGAAACUCUACAUUCAGGCAAUCAUCGCAACAAUCACUGAUUAAUUGACUAACUAAAUGCUGAGUAUAUUCUACUACACGGAAUCUAUUUCCACAAACUAAAUGUUUCUUGAUGAAUGCAUUUACCUUGCAAUCAUGAUCUGAUUUCAUUCCUUUUGAAUCAUCUGAUAGUUUCAAACUACCAGUGACAUCAAUUAUAUAUAUCUUAACGGGCACUAUAAAAUCAUCCCAAUCAACCCACUUUACUGUGCAUCUUAAGUAAAGGCUUCUCUUAGGUCCUUCGAAACCUUCCUUCAACUUGCACCGUGUAGAAUCAUAACAACAUAACAAACCUCCUUUAUAAUCUGGCCUAAUAGAUUUUCCAUACUCAUCCACUGUAACAUUAUAAAGGUCACACUUACAUUCAGUGCACCCUAAUUUAUCCUCUGUGCCACGCGUAUCGAUGGCAUGAACAUUAAGCAACCAUUUCUCCUCAAACCCUUCUGGAAUCUCUUCAGGACUACCUGUCUCUAUACCAAAAGGAUCUGGAAUAUCUGUUGUCGUUCCUCGUGUUUCUGAUCCAAGGCCAAAGUAUUGUGGAAUGGUAUUUCCCUGGCAUAUGCCACUGUUCCUUACAAGAACAUGAUCAUAGUUUUGAAGCAUCAUGUGGCUACCAUCUUCUGUGUGUGUGACAUAUUUUCUUUGAUAAUGUCAUUCAACAAGCCAAUGAUGGAGAUAGGUUUCAUGGAGGGGUAUAGGAUUACCAUCUUCAUCAACAACUUCAGCAUUGAAACUCUUGAGUGCUAUAUGAUCACUUGGAAAAUCAAUAUAAUAAUAAAAUCUAUUGAUAACUGAUCCAGGUCCAAGUUCAAACUUAGGGGACAGAAAAACAGCUGAUUUUAUUUUAUUUUCAGUCUUCUCAAAAGAACUUAAGCAUGGUGUGCCAAACAAUAAUAGAAGUAUUGCUACUGACAAUUCAAAAUCUCUAGGUACAAACCACAUGUUGAUGAUCUGCCAGAAAAAUAUUUACAAGUAAUUAACUAAUUUUUUAUUAAAGAAAUAUUAAACAGAUGCAGAAUCAAGCUUUCAUUAAACAAGGAAGACAAUGUUUGCAAAUUGCACAUGCACAACAAUAUUAAAAAAGGCAAGAUAAACUACACAAAUAUGCAUGAAAAAACAUAGUUUGAACACAAUCAAUACGGAGCAAAAGCAUGCAGAAGAGAAGAUGGAAUGGCUUGAGUUGCGUUCCUCAGAAAGAUAGUUUGGAAAUGGCAGAGUUGAGCUUUGUUUGACGAGAAAACUAGCUACUAUUCGAAGUAUUUUU